rnacentral:tRNA from 1 species
UCCGGAGUAGCUCAGUGGCAGAGCAGCCGGCUGUUAACCGGCUGGUCGUAGGUUCGAACCCUACCUCCGGAG